CACAAGACUUCCUGAGCAGGACAUGUAACCCACAAAAUUUAGCCAGUAUCCAGGGCUGCUCACAGCUUUGCUUCUUGUGAGAUUAAACGAAGAUGAUGGUCUUAAAAUGGUUUUACCACAAGAAACUCCCCCUACAAGGAAUAUACCUGUUGUCUUUCCCUGAGGCCUCACACUGCCAUUCUGAGGAGUAAAAUGAUAGAUCCAGAGGGUUUACCACAGAUCAUGGGGAGACAAUACAGAGAGAUGCUCUCACAGCCAGUAAAUGCACUGAUGGACCGUAAGAAUGUUCUCACCUGAUGAAAGGUCUUGAGAUGGCCAGGACAGUGCGAAUGAACCAUGUUGGCAUCUCUUCAGCCAGCUGAUGCCAGGCAUCUUCCUGCGAGGAGUUGCUCCAUUCAGGUACGGUCUGAUGACUUGCAUAUCGAUCCGUUGCUCCUGGUCGCCGAUGAUCACCGUUCGCCACA